rnacentral:rRNA from 1 species
AGUGGCGAACGGGUGAGUAACACAUCGGAACGUACCCAGGAGUGGGGGACAACCUCGAGAAAUCGAGGCUAAUACCGCAUACGUCCUGAGGGAGAAAGCGGGGGAUUCGCAAGGACCUCGCGCUCAUGGAUCGGCCGAUGCCGGAUUAGCUAGUUGGUGGGGUAAUAGCCCACCAAGGCUACGAUCCGUAGCUGGUUUGAGAGAACGACCAGCCACACUGGGACUGAGACACGGCCCAG